AAAUUUGAACGAUAGAGAUUUAGUUUGUUGUCGGUAAGUGACCGAGUUUACUUUUUGACAUUCUAAGGUUUCGUUGGAAAAAUAUUUCCUGUUUAGUUUGUCUUUUUGUUGAAUUUGGGCUUUGGCAUUGUCGAUUAUAGGUUCUGGAGUGCUCAAGGAUUGUUUAAGCUUCAAUUGAAACUAGGUGUAUACUCGAUUGAAUAAAAAAUGAGGCUUUGGCGAAAGCCGAAAACCUCAUUGUCGACGCCACAUAAGCAUGUGGUCGCUCGUGUGGUAGGCCGUGUAUGGAACCCAGGCGAAUGUUGUACGAGGCCAGGCCAUGCGCGUACGACACGACCGUGUAAUGGCUAGGUUGGCCAUGUGCGACACACGAGCCAGACUAAGUUGGGCUGCGUGGGCCACAUAGGC
rnacentral:lncRNA from 1 species